GUUCGGGUCCUGUGCACCGGACGGUUCCGAACCUCGUCAGGCCCGGAAGGGAGCAGCGAUCAGGUCCUCGUUCCGGGUGCCGCAGGGGUGCCGGAACCCU
rnacentral:SRP_RNA from 1 species